rnacentral:RNase_P_RNA from 2 species
GCGGAGGGCUGGAUGGCUGCUGUGUCAUCUUCGGGUGACAGGGAGGAAAGUCCGGACUCCAAUAAGAGACGGUGCCGGGUAACGCCCGGGCGGGGUAACCCGACGGAAAGCGCCACAGAAAAUAAACCGCCCUUCCUGCGGGAAGGGUAAGGGUGAAACGGUGGGGUAAGAGCCCACCGCGCGGCUGGUAACAGCAGCGGCAAGGCAAGCCCCACUGGGAGCAACGCCAAAUAGGGACCGCGUGCCGCGUUUGUCUUCGGGCAACCGGCGGAGCUUCUUAUGCUCCAGCAGGUCCGGGUUGGCGGCUGUAGCUGUGUCGGCAACGACAUGGUCAGAGGAAUGGUCAUCUAUGAUGAGGCGUGCAAACGUUUCAUCGGGACAAAAUCCGGCUUAUAGGCCCUCCGCGCAA